GCGUGCACGCGCGCCUGCGCCGCCGCGCCGAGCCGCAG
rnacentral:misc_RNA from 1 species